rnacentral:rRNA from 1 species
CGCACACCGCCCAUCGCUUCAUCGAAGUUGGUUUUAGGCGAGGUGGUGCGAUUUGGCAUUAUCGAACCUGAGAUCAGCAACGAGGGAG